rnacentral:tRNA from 4 species
UGCCCCUUCGUCUAACUGGCAGGACGCCCGACUCUGGAUCGGGUAAUCGAGGUUCGAAUCCUUGCGAGGCAGC